rnacentral:rRNA from 1 species
UACGUAGGGUGCGAGCGUUGUCCGGAAUUAUUGGGCGUAAAGAGCUCGUAGGCGGCUUGUCACGUCGGGUGUGAAAGCCCGGGGCUUAACCCCGGGUCUGCAUUCGAUACGGGCUAGCUAGAGUGUGGUAGGGGAGAUCGGAAUUCCUGGUGUAGCGGUGAAAUGCGCAGAUAUCAGGAGGAACACCGGUGGCGAAGGCGGAUCUCUGGGCCGUAACUGACGCUGAGGAGCGAAAGCGUGGGGAGCGAACAGG